rnacentral:rRNA from 1 species
CACGUAGGGCGCAAGCGUUGUCCGGAAUUAUUGGGCGUAAAGAGCUCGUAGGCGGUCUGUUGCGUCCGCUGUGAAAACUCGGGGCUUAACCCCGAGCCUGCAGUGGAUACGGGCAGACUAGAGGUAGGUAGGGGAGAAUGGAAUUCCCGGUGUAGCGGUGAAAUGCGCAGAUAUCGGGAGGAACACCGACGGCGCAGGCAGCGUCCUGGCCGCUUGCUGACACUGAGGCACGAAAGCUGGGGGAGCAAACAGG